GAUGAACGCUGGCGGCGUGCCUAAUACAUGCCAGUCGAACGCUGGAAAUCUAGCUUGCUAGCUUGAAGGAGUGGCGAACGGGUGAGUAAUACAUAAGCAACCUACCCACGAAGACUGGGAUAAUCUCUGGAAACGGGGACUAAUACCGGAUAGGUAAUCGGAAGGCAUCUUCUGAUUAUUAAAGGUUAAAAACACUGGUGGAUGGGCUUAUGGCGCAUUAGUUAGUUGGUGAGGUAACGGCCCACCAAGACGAUGAUGCGUAGCCGGCCUGAGAGGGUGAACGGCCACAUUGGGACUGAGACACGGCCCAGACUCCUACGGGAGGCAGCAGUAGGGAAUUUUCGGCAAUGGGGGAAACCCUGACCGAGCAACGCCGCGUGAGUGAUGACGGCCUUCGGGUUGUAAAGCUCUGUUGUAAGGGAAGAACGGUAGAUAGAGAAUAUCUAAAUGACGGUACCUUACCAGAAAGCCACGGCUAACUACGUG
rnacentral:rRNA from 1 species